UAGCAAGAAGUUAUGAAAAAAAUAUAUUAAAUAAUACGCAUUAAAAACAAAUAUGGAGAUAUGCUACUCCCAAGUAUCGAACUCAUCCCACUAAAGCAAGUGACACUGCUCUCUCUCCACUAGACCACUUAUGAUUAUUUAUUAUUUUAAUAAUAACUGGAAUAUAUAAACCAGAAUAGGUGAAAAUAAUUUAGAAUAAAAACUAAUUAGAAGAGAUGGGCUACUGUUAACUAAUUAAAACAAUGGAGGAAUCCCAAAGGAUAAC
rnacentral:lncRNA from 1 species